AGUGAACGCUGGCGGCAGGCCUAAUACAUGCAAGUCGAACGGCAGCACGGCAGAGCUUGCUCUGUGGGUGGCGAGUGGCGGACGGGUGAGGAAUACAUGGGAAUCUGCCCAGUCGUGGGGGAUAACGUAGGGAAACUUACGCUAAUACCGCAUGCGCCCUUCGGGGGAAAGCCGGGGACCUUCGGGCCUGGCGCGAUUGGAUGAGCCCAUGUCGGAUUAGCUAGUUGGCGGGGUAAUGGCCCACCAAGGCGACGAUCCGUAGCUGGUCUGAGAGGAUGAUCAGCCACACUGGAACUGAGACACGGUCCAGACUCCUACGGGAGGCAGCAGUAGGGAAUAUUGGACAAUGGGCGCAAGCCUGAUCCAGCCAUGCCGCGUGAGUGAAGAAGGCCUCGGGUUGUAAAGCUCUUUCAGGUGGAAAGAAAGCGGAUGGGCUAAUACCCUGUUCGGAUGACGGUACCACCAGAAGAAGCACCGGCUAACUACGUGCCAG
rnacentral:rRNA from 1 species